rnacentral:rRNA from 1 species
CUCCCGCCGGCGACCGGCGCACGGGUGAGUAACACGUAUGAAACCUGCCCGUAGCAGGGGGAUAAGCGGAAGAAAUUCCGUCUAAUACCGCGUAACAACCCAUGGAGGCAUCUCUGUGGGUUUAAAGGAAGCGAUUCCGGCUACGGAUGGUCAUGCGUCGCAUUAGCUUGUUGGCGGGGUAACGGCCCACCAAGGCGACGGUGCGUAGGGGUUCUGAGAGGAAGGUCCCCCACACUGGUACUGAGACACGGACCAGACUCCUACGGGAGGCAGCAG